rnacentral:tRNA from 1 species
UGCCCUAUGGUGUAAUUGGCAACACGUCUGAUUCUGGAUCAGAAAAGUCUAGGUUCGAGCCCUAGUAGGGCAA